GGUGCCACACACUCUUUUUUCUUAUUCCUGAGGCAUUAUCAAGACUCAAAGUAUAAGAGUUAAGAGUGGCAUC
ensembl:miRNA